GACGAACGCUGGCGGCGUGCUUAACACAUACAAGUCGAACGGUAAGGCCCUUCGGGGUACACGAGUGGCGAACGGGUGAGUAACACGUGGGUGAUCUGCCCUGCACUUCGGGAUAAGCCUGGGAAACUGGGUCUAAUACCGGAUAGGACCACUGCCUGCAUGGGUGGUGGUGGAAAGCUUUUGCGGUGUGGGAUGGGCCCGCGGCCUAUCAGCUUGUUGGUGGGGUGAUGGCCUACCAAGGCGACGACGGGUAGCCGGCCUGAGAGGGUGACCGGCCACACUGGGACUGAGAUACGGCCCAGACUCCUACGGGAGGCAGCAGUGGAGAAUAUUGCACAAUGGGCGCAAGCCUGAUGCAGCGACGCCGCGUGAGGGAUGACGGCCUUCGGGUUGUAAACCUCUUUCAGCACCGACGAAGCGCAAGUGACGGUAGGUGCAGAAGAAGGACCGGCCAACUACGUGCCAGCAGCCGCAGUAA
rnacentral:rRNA from 1 species